rnacentral:sRNA from 2 species
GCACCGGGACCGCCUCGACGAUCCGGGGAACCACCGAAGUAGCACCUGGGGUGAAUCCGCGUUCCGCGGUAGGGCCUUCUUCCCGCCCGAAUCCGUCAGCUAACCCGGUAGGCGGCACAGCGGAAGAAA